GUUCAGCAAUUUUUGCUAACACAGAUGAUAACGCUAUAGGACGAUAGGAGGAAACAUAAGAUGGAUUUUUAUUGGGUUUUAGUAUUGGCAACACUAACUGAUGUUUCCAUGACAAUGGCAUUUUCCCUGUAGUAAUAAUUAAAUUAAUAAGAGCUAAAUAAUAGGAAAGAGCACCGUCUCCUAGAUUAGCAAGGAAUGAAUAUGUUAUGCCAUCAUUUCCAGGAGCAGUAUCUUUGACAUUUGUUAAAAUACCUUUAAGUUCAGGGAGAGUAAAAAGGAACACUUUAUCAGCUGCUUCAUUUAAUAAUGUGAAUAAAGCAUCUGCACAUUCACACGGAUCAUUUAUUGAAACAUUUGGAAGAGAGGAUAUACUGUUUUCAACAAUUGAUUUAAAAUUACCCCAAUCUCCAUCAUUCAACCUAUAUUUAAUUCUUGGACCUUGUUGAGGGAUUUUUAAAUAUUUCUGAGGAAACUUAAUUAAAAUUGGGAAGUGAUCACUACCAAAGGUGGAAUCCAUAGUAUUCCAGGACAAAGUGGAAGCUAAAUUUGGAGUGCAAAUGGAUAAAUCAAUAGCGCUUAAGAUUCCAUCAGGACCAGUGCGAUGUGUUGGAUUACCAGUAUUCAGGAUGCAAAGAUUAUGAGUAUCUAAAAGUUCCAAAACAGCUUCUCCAUUGGAGUUAGAGAUGGAACUGCCCCAUGAUCUAUGAUGUGAAUUGAAGUCCCCUAGCAAUAUAAAUGGCCGAGGUAAAGAAGAAAGCAUAUUAUUAAUUUCAAUGAAAACAAGAGAAGAAGGAUGAGGAAUGUAGAUGGAAACAAAACAUAUAUUGUUAAUAAUGACGGCUAUAAUUGAAUAAUUAUCACUGUGUGGAGGAAGACUUAAAGGAGUGUAUGUCUGGGAUUUUUCUAUAAGUAUGGCUACACCACCAUACCCAUCUGCUCUGUCUUCUCUAAGACAUAUAUAAUUGGGUAUACGAAACAUAGAAUUUGGUUUAAGCCAUGUCUCAGUGAGAGCUAUCACAAAGGGUUCAUAUUUAUUAACAAUGUAAGCUAAGUCACUUUUUUUGCUGAUUACACUGCGGCAAUUCCAUUGGACCAAUUGAUCCAUUAUUAUGCGUGUUAAUGAGAGAGUUUAAUAAUUCAGGGGCAACGUUGGACGGUUCAUCACAAAGAGGUUUAUUAAUCAAUACAUCAGCAAAAGAUCUGUUAACUGAUGGAAAA